UAAUUGCAAAGUGAAUUAUGGCACUUUACAAAAAAAAAAUCCAUAUCCACCUUGUGUGCAACGUUUGUGUCUUCUCUUUUUAAGAGAGGACGCUUUCAUCAACCAAUUUUUUUUUUUAAAACAAGAAUCGUCUGAAGAAACAGUUUUUAAAAUUAAAAAA
rnacentral:misc_RNA from 1 species